GGAACAGAUGAUCAUAAAUAAAUAAUGUUUUUUAUAUUAUAUUUAAAAUAUUUGUUGGGUUUAGUAAUACAUUCAAAAUUUAUAAUCAACAUACUGAAGGUAUACACAUUAAAAAAAAUAGUAUUUAACUUCGGUUACGUCCAAUGGCGGCAUUACUUUAUUUUCUGGGAGGCUAGUUUUUCACUCAAAAGGAUUAUGAGCAAAAAAUUAAGGUUUACUUAUUCAAGGAACAAAAGGGAAAAAGAACUAAUCAUGCAAAAAGAAGAACCAUGAAUGUAUAUUUCGAAAAGUAAACAGAAAAUAUAAGUUUAUAAAAUGAGAGACAUUUUAGUAUCAUGUGGCAUUUAAACCUAUUCCACUUGGAUGCGAACACGUAAAAAUGAUCGACAAGCAGAUAAAAUAGCACUUGAUACUUGACUGUUUAAAAAAAAAUCCGAACUGUUUGUUUUUGAUCAUAAAAACUAAUAAAAAUUCACUUCAAAAUGUA